GGGGAUGUGGCUCAGUAGUAGAGCUCUUUACUCCAUAAGCACAAGGCCCUGGGUUCAAUCCCCAGCACCAUCA
rnacentral:tRNA from 1 species